AUAUAAUUGGAAGUGUUUACAAUGGGAUUUGCUGUGUUCUGUGGCCUGAGGACAGCACAGUUUGCCACUGGAAGUGUUUUUGCAAUGGGGUGAUGGAGAGGAGUCGCAUUCUCCUUGACCUGCUGAGGACAAAGAAAGAAAGAUGCACUUAUAAGCGCCUGCACGCUGUUCUCCCGGGAGUGACACAUUUGGACACGUGGAAGUCGCAGGAUAAGAAGCUGGGUGGUUAAGUACAUGUGUUUGAAUGUUUUUUUAAAUUAAAAGGUAGAAAUAUUGUAUGGCAUUUCUUUGUGAACUUGCAAAAUGAUAAACGGCAAUUCAAAAAACGUCAACAUAGCAAAUCCACCUAAUUUAAUAAGUCAAAAUUUCCAGUUAUACAUUAACUGCUUAAAGGAUUUUCAAUAUCUUAUUAGAAAUUGUACAAUCUACUUUGUCCUCAGCAUUUGAAUACGGUCAGCACUCAGAUAUUCAUCACAUUUUAACAGCCUUUUAUAUUAAGAAUAAAAUCAAUCCCCAUUUGUGACGGACAGAGAAUGAAUCCUAGUCAACAAUCU